GCAUGGCCGAAUUCUGUUUUACUCUUUUUGUAGUAAACACAGUCAGACACCAUGCCAGAGUACUAUGCUAACUCCCUCUUCGUUUUCACAGUGGUACAUUA